GAUGAACGCUGGCGGCGUGCCUAAUACAUGCAAGUCGAGCGAACGGACGAGAAGCUUGCUUCUCUGAUGUUAGCGGCGGACGGGUGAGUAACACGUGGAUAACCUACCUAUAAGACUGGGAUAACUUCGGGAAACCGGAGCUAAUACCGGAUAAUAUUUUGAACCGCAUGGUUCAAAAGUGAAAGACGGUCUUGCUGUCACUUAUAUAUGGAUCCGCGCUGCAUUAGCUAGUUGGUAAGGUAACGGCUUACCAAGGCAACGAUGCAUAGCCGACCUUAGAGGGUGAUCGGCCACACUGGAACUGAGACACGGUCCAGACUCCUACGGGAGGCAGCAGUAGGGAAUCUUCCGCAAUGGGCGAAAGCCUGACGGAGCAACGCCGCGUGAGUGAUGAAGGUCUUCGGAUCGUAAAACUCUGUUAUUAGGGAAGAACAUAUGUGUAAGUAACUGUGCACAUCUUGACGGUACCUAAUCAGAAAGCCACGGCUAACUACGUG
rnacentral:rRNA from 1 species